rnacentral:rRNA from 1 species
CCAGACAUAUGGAGGAUUGACAGACAGUUAACCAAAACGCAGCAGCUAGUUUAACAAAACUAACAGCUCUUUCAAGAUUAUGUGGUAGGUGGUGCAUGGCCGUUCUUAGUUCGUGAAGUGAUUCGUUCGCCCAAUCGCAUUUCCAAACAACUAACAACUCAGAAUGCUGGGCAAUAGGACGUUUAAAGUGGCUCCUUACACCUUACAAAGGAAUGGCUGAUGAGAAACAACUCGAUCCGCUCAGCGUUCUAUUGGAAUGCAACGGACGUGAUUGCAAGCUUUUGUUUUGAGUUGCGGUUUUACUGAAAGACUCUACAAUCCGCAAACUUCAAUGAUCUGAAGUAGAAAACCUACAUGCUACAGUGAGAUAUUGUGGAUAAACUUAAGCGACCGCUCCAACAUUGGUUUUUUUAAAACUGAUGAAGGUUGCGGCAAUAACAGGUCUGUGAUGCCCUUCGAUGUCCUGGGCUGCACACGUGCUACAAUGG